GCACUUUCAGUGUCCGAGUUGUAAUUUGAAGAAGGUAACUCUGGAGUUGGCCCUUGUCUAUGUUCCUUGGAACAGGACGUCACAGAGGGUGAGAAUCCCGUGCGAUGGGGUGUCCAAUUCUAUGUAGAGUGCUUUCGAAGAGUCGAGUUGUUUGGGAAUGCAGCUCUAAGUGGGUGGUAAAUUCCAUCUAAAGCUAAAUAUUGGCGAGAGACCGAUAGCGAACAAGUACAGUGAUGGAAAGAUGAAAAGAACUUUGAAAAGAGAGUGAAAAAGUACGUGAAAUUGUUGAAAGGGAAGGGCUUGAGAUCAGACUCGGUAUUUUGCGAUCCUAUCCUUCGUGGAGAGGUUUCACUUGCAGCUUACCGGGCCAGCAUCGGUUUGGAUGGUAGGAUAAUGACAUUGGAAUGUGGCUCUUCGGAGUGUUAUAGCCUUUGUUGAUACUGCCUAUCUAGACCGAGGACUGCGUCUUUG
rnacentral:rRNA from 1 species